rnacentral:rRNA from 1 species
GCAGUCUGCAACUCGACUGCAUGAAGCUGGAAUCGCUAGUAAUCGCGAAUCAGAAUGUCGCGGUGAAUACGUUCCCGGGUCUUGUACACACCGCCCGUCACACCAUGGGAGCCGGCAACGCCCGAAGUCAGUGGCCUAACCGAGAGGGAGGAGCUGCCGAAGGCGGGGCUGGUAACUGGGGUGAAGUCGUAACAAGGUAAC